CCUACGGGUGGCAGCAGUGAGGAAUAUUGGUCAAUGGACGAGAGUCUGAACCAGCCAAGCAGCGUGAAGGAUGACUGCCCUAUGGGUUGUAAACUUCUUUUAUAUGGGAAUAAAAUGGUCCACGUGUGGGAUUUUGUAUGUACCAUAUGAAUAAGGAUCGGCUAACUCCGUGCCAGCAGCCGCGGUAAUACGGAGGAUCCGAGCGUUAUCCGGAUUUAUUGGGUUUAAAGGGAGCGUAGGUGGAUUGUUAAGUCAGUUGUGAAAGUUUGCGGCUCAACCGUAAAAUUGCAGUUGAAACUGGCAGUCUUGAGAACAGUAGAGGUGGGCGGAAUUCGUGGUGUAGCGGUGAAAUGCUUAGAUAUCACGAAGAACUCCGAUUGCGAAGGCAGUUCACUGGACUGCAACUGACACUGAGGCUCGAAAGUGUGGGUAUCAAACAGGAUUAGAUACCCUUGUAGUC
rnacentral:rRNA from 1 species